rnacentral:rRNA from 1 species
CCUCGGGCAUGCCCAGUACGGCGAGUGAGCGGCAAAAGCUCAAAUUUGAAAUCCUGCGGGAAUUGUAAUUUGAAGGUUUCGUGGUCUGAGUCGGCCGCGCCCAAGUCCAUUGGAACAUGGCGCCUGGGAGGGUGAGAGCCCCGUCCGGCGCACGCCGACUCUUUGCACCGCGGCUCCCACAAGUCUAGUUGUUUGGGAAUGCAGCUCUAAGUGGGUGGUAAAUUCCAUCUAAAGCUAAAUAUUGGCGAGAGACCGAUAGCGAACAAGUACAGUGAUGGAAAGAUGAAAAGCACUUUGAAAAGAGAGUGAAACAGCACGUGAAAUUGUUGAAAGGGAAGGGCUUGCAAGCAGACACGGUUUUACCGGGCCAGCGUCGAAAAGGGGGGAGGAACAAGAACUCGAGAAUGUGGCGCGCACCUUCGGGUGCGCGUGUUAUAGCUCGUGUUGACGCCUCCAUCCUUUUUCGAGGCCUGCGAUUCUAGGACGCUGGCGUAAUGGUUGCAAGCCGCCCGUCUUGGA